rnacentral:tRNA from 1 species
AAGGGCUUAGCUUAAUUAAAGUAAUUGAUUUGCGUUCAUUAGAUGUAAGAUAGAGUCUUGCAGUCCUUA